rnacentral:rRNA from 1 species
GAUGAACGCUGGCGGCGUGCCUAACACAUGCAAGUCGAACGGUGAACCUUGCUUUAUAGUGAGGGGAUCAGUGGCGCACGGGUGAGUAAUACGUAGGUGACCUGCCCCAAAGAGGAGAAUAACUGUGCGAAAGUGCAGCUAAUACUCCAUGUGAUCGGUCAUUCGUUUGGCCGAUGAAAGCUUCGGCGCUUUGGGAGGGGCCUGCGGCCCAUCAGCUAGUUGGUAGGGUAAUGGCCUACCAAGGCUAUGACGGGUAGCUGGUCUGAGAGGAUGAUCAGCCACAAUGGCACUGAAACACGGGCCAUACUCCUACGGGUGGCUG